CCGAAAAGUGUGCGUCGGGGGC
rnacentral:misc_RNA from 1 species